rnacentral:rRNA from 1 species
UACGUAGGGUCCGAGCGUUGUCCGGAAUUAUUGGGCGUAAAGGGCUCGUAGGCGGUUUGUCACGCCGGGAGUGAAAACUCAGGGCUUAACCCUGAGCGUGCUUCCGAUACGGGCUGACUAGAGGGAUGCAGGGGAGAACGAAUUCCUGGUGUAGCGGUGGAAUGCGCAGAGUAUCAGGAGGAACACCGGUGGCGAAGGCGGUUCUCUGGGCAUUCCUGACGCUGAGGAGCGAAAGCAUGGGGAGCGAACAGG